UAACCCUACUUUUCAACCAUUUAUCAUCACUACUCGUUUCAUCUCCUUCAAUCGAUUUUCUCCGACGGUUGACAAAUCUUCCAUCACUUUUCUACAUAAGAGUAAACAAUUAUCCCUAUUUUUCCUUUUCAUUCACCGCCUAACUUCUGGGCAGCGGCGCACAAUAGAUUUGAAUCUCCCACUACAAUGGUGGAGCUGAUUAAGGAAGCAUGGGAGAAAGCAUACAUCACUGAGGUCACCAAGCAAUAAUUGGUGUUUCUCUUGGACGAAGAGCAUUACGAGAGAAAAAAAAGAAAACAUGCCUCGAUAGAAUUAAGAUAGAGUGUUGGAUUUGUAUAUCAUUUGUUUUUAUUCAGAAAAUUUGUAUUGUUAUUCGACAUUUUAUAGUGAUGUAUUCAUUUAAUAUGAAUAGUGGAUUGUUUUAAAAUUGUUGUAGAUUUGUAUAAUAUUUAUUUUUAUUCAUACAAUUUUUAUUGUUAUUCGACAUCUUAUAGUGACA